rnacentral:misc_RNA from 1 species
AUAUUCGAUCAAGACUGGGCAAACCUCGAACCAAUAGCAGUGAGGAGAACCACCAACAGGGGAACCCUUCUAUUCCAGCAAAUGGAGAGGAUUCUUCCAAUGGAACAGACUCAUCAUCAGGUUCUGAAUGAGCAGUAUGCUUCCUUCAAAGCACUAACUCUAAAAUCUGUAUAAGAGUACAGUUCCAUAUCCACCCCAAUUCUGUAAAUUAGGGGUGACCUGACGACUCUCUUUUUGGCUAUAGAGAAGAUCUUUUACGGAGUUCUGGAUGCCAAAGUGCACAUUCAGAAAAUUUUCUGUUCCCAUAAGAAAAAAAGAAGA